rnacentral:piRNA from 1 species
UGUUUGUCCAUCAUGAAGGUUCCCGGAU